UGGGGAAUAUUGCACAAUGGAGGGAACUCUGAUGCAGCGACGCCGCGUGAACGAAGAAGGCUUUCGAGUCGUAAAGUUCUUUUAUAUGGGAAGAUAAUGACGGUACCAUAAGAAGAAGCCCCGGCUAACUACGUGCCAGCAGCCGCGGUAAUACGUAGGGGGCUAGCGUUGUCCGGAAUCACUGGGCGUAAAGGAUUCGCAGGCGGAAAUGCAAGUCAGGUGUAAAAGGCAGUAGCUUAACUACUGUAAGCAUUUGAAACUGCAUAUCUUGAGAAGAGUAGAGGUAAGUGGAAUUUUUAGUGUAGCGGUGAAAUGCGUAGAUAUUAAAAAGAAUACCGGUGGCGAAGGCGACUUACUGGGCUCAUUCUGACGCUGAGGAACGAAAGCGUGGGUAGCAAACAGG
rnacentral:rRNA from 1 species